rnacentral:rRNA from 1 species
UACGUAGGGGGCGAGCGUUGUCCGGAGUUACUGGGCGUAAAGGGCAUGCAGGCGGUCGGACGCGUUUCGGGUGACAGCGGGUGGCUUAACUACCCGAGUGGUCGAAAGACGGUUUGACUUGAGGACGCGAGAGGGACACGGAAUUCCGGGUGGAGUGGUGAAAUGCGUAGAGAUCCGGAGGAACACCGAAGGCGAAGGCAGUGUCCUGGCGCGUAACUGACGCUGAGGUGCGAAAGCCAGGGGAGCAAACGGG